GUGGGGAAUUUUGGACAAUGGGCGCAAGCCUGAUCCAGCAAUGCCGCGUGCAGGAAGAAGGCCUUCGGGUUGUAAACUGCUUUUGUACGGAACGAAACGGUCCUGGCUAAUAUCCGGGGCUAAUGACGGUACCGUAAGAAUAAGCACCGGCUAACUACGUGCCAGCAGCCGCGGUAAUACGUAGGGUGCGAGCGUUAAUCGGAAUUACUGGGCGUAAAGCGUGCGCAGGCGGUGCUGUAAGACAGGCGUGAAAUCCCCGGGCUCAACCUGGGAAUUGCGCUUGUGACUGCAGUGCUGGAGGGCGGCAGAGGGGGAUGGAAUUCCGCGUGUAGCAGUGAAAUGCGUAGAUAUGCGGAGGAACACCGAUGGCGAAGGCAAUCCCCUGGGCCUGCACUGACGCUCAUGCACGAAAGCGUGGGGAGCAAACAGGAUUAGAAACCCCUGUAGUCC
rnacentral:rRNA from 1 species